AGCCGGCCCGUCCCCCCCAAUAUUGGGAAUAUUUCUGUGGGUGUCGUUGUGGUUACAUCACAGCUCUCUCCUUCCUCAUCUCCAUUCUUGUGCAAAAUUCAAAUAAUUCCCCCCCUCCCCGAUAGCAGCUGUGCAUAGGGGGGGGCGGUUUUGUUGUUUUUCUUUUUUUUUUUAAGUCGCUCUUUAACGUUACGAAAGGAACAAUAAAAUGAAAGGCAAAACCGGCAUCUUAAAACUUGGCAAGUGAAAGCAGCUUGGACUGGCAGCCAAGAAUCCUGCUGUGGUGCAAAAAGAAUAGCAUCCACGGAGCCACCACAAUCCGGGGCUUCUCCUCUUUUAACAAUCGCGUCGGCACAGAGAAAUAAUUAUUCCUUGUAUCAGUGUUAAAAGAGUCAACAAGCUUAAAAAAAGCUUGCUUGGUGAACCUCCUCCAGAGCAGAAAACGUUCCAGAGGAGUUGGGCCUAGCAAUAUGGCAGCGCACGUUCCAUAGGAAAUCCUGCAGAAUGCUGCUGCUGCUGAGCUCUGUUCCCAAGGAGGGCACAAUCCCUCUGCUCCCUGCCCCGCUCCAGCCUUGACCACUGCAGGGACAGAGUUUUCUCCACCCCAAAAUUCCAACAGCAAAGCCAUCCCGGAUUUUCAAAGAUGCUGCAGCACGAAUUCUUUGGCUGCUGAAAACUUUGGGGAAAAGCUGGACACUUUAGAGCCCUCGAGCAGCGUGGUGUUAACAUUCCCAAAAAGCACCAUGGCAACCUCUCAGUGUUCUUGCCUUCGUGGUCAGCAAGUAGAAUCUCCAAAGACCUGACAGAAGAGCAGUGACUUCCAAGGCUGUUCUGCUCCAGCUUUUCAGGAAUUGCAGAAAUCCCAGCCACACACCCAGAAAUCCCAACCACACACCCAGAAAUCCCAGCCAUGCAUCCAGCAUCCAGGAAAGGACAAAGAGAAGGGGAUCAGGUGAGGGUGACAAAAGCAAUCUGGACACUGCAGCUUCUUCCAAGGACUCCCAGCCCUCCAGGGACGUGGUAAGUGUUGUCCUGAUGGUUCUGCAUUUUUACAGAAUAUUGAUUUCUUCAGUGAUUUGGUGUGGAAUUGGUCUGCAGAACAGUGGGGCUCAAACUAGAAGUUUUUGGUUGUCAAGAGCACCAUUCUGGAAAUGUCCAAAUCGUGACAACUUUGUCCAUUUUGCUUUCCAGAGUGCCCCACACUCUGAAUUUUACCUUUCCUCACAUCAUUUCAAUUCUUAAUUUCUAUUACCUAAUGGUUUUUUUUUACUCCAUGGAAGACACUUUAUUAAUUUGGAAACUAUUCUCAUAUAUGCUGUCCUUACAGCUGAGCUGUAACCAUUAUUUUAAAGGUGCUUCCUAAAUGAUCUCUGUCUGUUUUGCCCAGAGUGAAGUUAUUGACUGGUCUCAAAAAGGCCUCAAGGUUUUUUAGUUAAUGCUGAAGUCCCUAAAGCUUCCUCCCUGGCUGAACAUCCCUUCUCCUGUGUGUCUUCCCUUUUGAAUUGCUAAUUCCAAUUGAUCUGAGGGAAAAAAAAAUAAAAAUCGUAAUAGUUUGUAUUUACUUUCUGCUAUAACAGCACCUACCAAGGUCUCUCCUUCCUUUGACCUUGUGUCCAUGAUUAAAUUCAUUCUUCCUUUCUGUUUUCCAGCUUCUCUCUGCAAACUUUCUUUCGCUCCAUUUCUGCAAGAACUUCCUGCAAACCAUGUCCCUGAGAGGAUUAGUGGAGGGGAUACCAAUUUUAUUUAUAUUUAUUUAUAAAUGGACUGUAGAGACUUGGCCCCUUUUUAAAUAUGAGAACAAUUUCCAGGCCUCUUUCAGUUGUGGUUAUUCCACUUCAAAAAAGAAAAACCAAACCCAACAAACCACAGAACAAUAGAGAAAUAUGAGAAGUUGUGGAAACCCCUCAAACUUUCUCUAUUUAAGUUUUGAGUUCCUGGUGGUCACAGGGCCAGGUGAUGCUGCCAGUUGUGGGGUUUUGGUUUUUUUUGUGUAGUGCCUGGCCCAGAGCAUUUGAAUUAAAUGCAAAGAUGGGAUCAAAUCAAACAGAAUGACACCUCUAUUUUUUAUUUUUUUUUUUUGGCCAGCCUGGAAGCCUUUAACAUUUUGGAAUUUGAGUGUUUGCAAAACAGGGUUGCUGGACUCCAGUAAAUGAAGUGUCCGGAUGUCGGUGGUGAUUCAUAAAAGCAAUUAAAAGAGGAAAGUGCUUUUCCUCUGAGCGUAAUGCCUUGGUUGGAGGAUGUCCUUAAGUGAGUGUGAAGUGCUCCAGCAGUGGUCAGGGGAUGGGGGCUCUUGUGUUCAGGUCAUGGAUCUGUUUCCAGCAAACACUUCUUUAUCACGUGGUGCUGCUGAUUAAAACCAAAUUAUUUUUCUCACAGAGUCCCAGAGCGUUUGGGGUGAGAGGGGAGCUCCAGAGAUCACCCAGAACAACCCCCCUGGCCAGGCAGGCUCACCUGGAGCAGUGACAGGGACACAUCCAGCUGGGGCUGGGGUGGCUCCAGAACCUCCCUGGGCAGCUGUUCCAGGGCUCUGCCACCUCCGUGGGAAGCUCUUCCUCAGGUUGAGGUGGAACUCUUUGAGUUUUACUUGCUGGCCAUUGCUCCUCGCCUUGUCACCAAAACCAGUUUGGCACCCUCCUCUGACACCUGCCUAGGGGAUGUUUGUGUGGAUUUAACAACUGAGUCUUAUUCAGUUUCUAUUUCAAUAUAGUUCCCAUUUCUUCAUCCUUAAAUUUGAGGGCAAUCCUGCUGAGGAUGCAGUGUUUUCCAUGGGAGAAAUGUGAUUGUGGCAUCAACAUCGGCGGUGACAGAUAAUUGAAACUCAUCAAAUAUGAUUUUUUUUUCCUCCCCCAGCCUAGUGCAGCUGCCUGGCAUUUCUGACCUUCCCCAAACACAAUUUCUGACCUUCCCCAUUUGUGCUUUAAAGGGAUUUUCCAGGAGCAAGGCUGAGAACCCGAUGGAGGUUGUUGUUGUACACAAGGAUCCAUCAGCACGGCCACGUUACCUAAGCCAGGAGCAGACCCUGAGGCAUUCCCUACAAAAUUCCCAUGUGGCUUUUCCAGCUUUCCCAACCAACCUGGUGGAUGUUGGGGGUGGUUUUCAGGCUGUCCCAGAUCAGGCACUUCCAGUCUCGCUGCCUUCUCCAAGGGGAUUCCUCUGGCUUCUCCUGGAGCUCGCACAAAUUGAAGUCGUGCCUUCCGUUGGCUUUGCCCUCCCAUCCUGCCCUUGGUUAUCCCGUGCUAAGGGAAGCAGAAGAGUUUACUGAUUUAUCAUGGAUCAUUAGGUGGAAGUAACUAUUCUUAAAACAUCAGGGUGGAUGCAAUAAUUAGGGAUGUGCUUUUGUUAACACCGCCAGCCUCUACCCUCUUGUACAGUACCCUUGGGUACUAAAUAAUUACCCAUUUUGUGUGGUUAUCUAGCUCACUAAUUACCCACAAAAAUUGGGGUCAGGUGUUAACUGCUUGAAAUAAGUAUCCUCCAAAGGCUUGGCUAAAGUGUAUAAAGAAAUUAUGUGUUUGCUACAAAACUUUGGGUAAAAAAAAAAAAAAAA